GAUGAACGCUGGCGGCGUGCCUAAUACAUGCAAGUCGAGCGAACAGACGAGGUGCUUGCUCCUCUGACGUUAGCGGCGGGCGGGUGAGUAACACGUGGAUCACCUGCCUAUAAGACUAGGAUAACUUCGUGAAACCGGUGCUAAUACCGGAUAAUAUCUUGAACCGCAUGGUUCGAUAGUUACAGACGGUUUUGCUGUCCCUUAUAGAUGGAUCCGCGCCGGAUUAGCUAGUUGGUAAGGUAACGGCUUACCGAGGCAACGAUGCGUAGCCGACCGGCGAGCGGGAAGGGCGCCUCUGGGACCGAGCCACCGCCCAGACUCCGACGGGCGGCAGCAGUAGGGACUCGUGGCCAAUGGGCGAAAUCUUGCCGGAGCAACGCCGCGCGGAUGAAGAAGGGCUUCGGAUCGUAAAACGCCGUUAGGAGGGAAGACCAAAUGCGUAAGUAACGAAGCAUGUCGUGACGGUACCUAAUCAGAAAGCACCGGCUAACUACGUG
rnacentral:rRNA from 1 species